rnacentral:rRNA from 1 species
AGAGUUUGAUCCUGGCUCAGAUUGAACGCUGGCGGUAUGCUUAACACAUGCAAGUCGAACGGAAACGAAACUAGCUUGCUAGUAGGCGUCGAGUGGCGGACGGGUGAGUAACGCGUAGGAAUCUGCCUGAUAGUGGGGGAUAGCCCGAAGAAAUUCGGAUUAAUACCGCAUAAUCUAUUCGUAGUAAAGUGGGGGACUUUCGAGCCUCACGCUAUCAGAUGAGCCUGCGUAAGAUUAGCUUGUUGGUAGGGUAAAAGCCUACCAAGGCAACGAUCUUUAGCUGGUCUGAGAGGAUGAUCAGCCACAUCGGGACUGAGACACGGCCCGAACUCCUACGGGAGGCAGCAGUGGGGAAUAUUGGACAAUGGGGGCAACCCUGAUCCAGCAAUACCGCGUGUGUGAAGAAGGCCUGAGGGUUGUAAAGCACUUUCAAUUGUGAAGAAAAGUUAACGGUUAAUAACCGUUGACCUUGACGUUAACUUUAGAAGAAGCACCGGCUAACUCCGUGCCAGCAGCCGCGGUAAUACGGAGGGUGCAAGCGUUAAUCGGAAUUACUGGGCGUAAAGCGUGCGUAGGCGGUUUAUUAAGUCAGAUGUGAAAGCCCCGGGCUUAACCUGGGAACUGCAUUUGAAACUGGUCAACUAGAGUAUGGUAGAGGAAAGUGGAAUUUCUGGUGUAGCGGUGAAUGCGUAGAUAUCAGAAGGAACAUCAAUGGCGAAGGCAGCUUUCUGGACCAAUACUGACGCUGAGGUACGAAAGCGUGGGUAGCAAACAGGAUUAGAUACCCUGGUAGUCCACGCCGUAAACGAUGAUAACUAGCCGUUGGGGGGAUUUACCCCUUAGUGGCGAAGCUAACGCGUUAAGUUAUCCGCCUGGGGAGUACGGCCGCAAGGCUAAAACUCAAAGGAAUUGACGGGGACCCGCACAAGCGGUGGAGCAUGUGGUUUAAUUCGAUGCAACGCGAAGAACCUUACCUGGUCUUGACAUCCUGCGAACUUUCUAGAAAUAGAUUGGUGCCUUCGGGAACGCAGUGACAGGUGCUGCAUGGCUGUCGUCAGCUCGUGUCGUGAGAUGUUGGGUUAAGUCCCGUAACGAGCGCAACCCCUAUCCUUAUUUGCCAGCACAUUAUGGUGGGAACUAUAAGGAGACUGCCGGUGAUAAACCGGAGGAAGGCGGGGACGACGUCAAGUCAUCAUGGCCCUUACGACCAGGGCUACACACGUGCUACAAUGGGAAGGACAAAGAGCCGCGAAGCCGCGAGGUGUAGCUAAUCUCAUAAAUCUUUUCGUAGUCCGGAUUGGAGUCUGCAACUCGACUCCAUGAAGUCGGAAUCGCUAGUAAUCGUAGAUCAGAAUGCUACGGUGAAUACGUUCCCGGGUCUUGUACACACCGCCCGUCAUACCAUGGGAGUGGGUUGCACCAGAAGUGGCUAGUCUAACUUUGUGAGGACGGUCACCACGGUGUGAUUCAUGACUGGGGUAAAGUCGUAACAAGGUAACC